rnacentral:rRNA from 1 species
CUAGCGGGAGGCAUAAUACAUGCAAGUCGAACGGGAUCUCUUGAGUCGCAAUACAAGGUCGUGAGAGUGGCGUACGGGUGCGUAACGGGUCUGCAACCCACAUUUAUCUAGGGGGAUAGCCCCUCGAAAGACGGAUUAAUACUCCAUAGUAUCACCAGAUGGCAUCUGAAGGUGAUUAAAGAUUUAUUGGUUAAGGAUGGGCAUGCGUGACAUUAGCUAGUUGGUGAGGUAACGGCUCACCAAGUCAGCGAUGUCUAGGGGUUCUGAGAGGGUGAUCCCCCACACUGGUACUGAGACACGGACCAGACUCCUACGGGAGGCAGCAGUAGGGAAUAUUGGUCAAUGGAGGAGACUCUGAACCAGCCAUGCCGCGUGCAGGAAGACGGCCUUAUGGGUUGUAAACUGCUUUUGACAGGGAAGAAAAACGGCUAUGCGUAGCUAACUGACGGUACCUGUAGAAUAAGCACCGGCUAACUCCGUGCCAGCAGCCGCGGUAAUACGGAGGGUGCAAGCGUUGUCCGGAUUUAUUGGGUUUAAAGGGUACGUAGGUGGCCUAUUAAGUCAGUGGUGAAAUUUUGCAGCUUAACUGUAAAACUGCCAUUGAUACUGGUAGGCUUGAGUAUUGUUGAGGCAGGCGGAAUUUAUGAUGUAGCGGUGAAAUGCAUAGAUAUCAUAAAGAACACCGAUUGCGAAGGCAGCUCACUAAGCCGAUACUGACGCUCAGGGACGAAAGCGUGGGUAGCGAACAGGAUUAGAUCCCCUGGUAGUCCACGCCGUAAACGAUGUUAACUAGCCGUUGGCGAUAUACUGUCAGCGGCCAAGCGAAAGCGUUAAGUUAUCCACCUGGGGAGUACGAUCGCAAGGUUGAAACUCAAAGGAAUUGACGGGGGCCCGCACAAGCGGUGGAGCAUGUGGUUUAAUUCGAUGAUACGCGAGGAACCUUACCUGGGCUUAAAUGUUAGUGAUCGUCGCCGAAAGGUGACUUUUCUUCGGAACACGAAGCAAGGUGCUGCAUGGCUGUCGUCAGCUCGUGCCGUGAGGUGUUGGGUUAAGUCCCGCAACGAGCGCAACCCCUAUCUUUAGUUGCCAUCAGGUUAUGCUGGGGACUCUAAAGAGACUGCCUAUGCAAAUAGUGAGGAAGGUGGGGACGACGUCAAGUCAUCAUGGCCCUUACGUCCAGGGCUACACACGUGCUACAAUGGCAAGUACAAUGAGCAGCCAUCUCGUGAGAGAGAGCGAAUCUCAAAAAGCUUGUCUCAGUUCGGAUUGGAGUCUGCAACUCGACUCCAUGAAGGCGGAUUCGCUAGUAAUCGCAUAUCAGCAAUGAUGCGGUGAAUACGUUCCCGGGCCUUGUACACACCGCCCGUCAAGCCAUGGAAGCUGGGGGUGCCUAAAGUCCGUAACCGCAAGGAGCGGCCUAGGCA